rnacentral:rRNA from 1 species
AAGCUCGUAGUUGAAUUUCGGGAUCAAUAUGUCGGUCGUGCCAUCGGUACGUACUGGCAUCAUUGGUUUCUCCUUUCUGACGAACCAUGAUGUCAUUAAUUUGGUGUUAUGGGGAGUUAGGACUGUUACUUUGAAAAAAUUAGAGUGUUUAAAGCAGGCUUUAGCUUGAAUACAUUAGCAUGGAAUAAUGAAAUAGGACGUUCGAACCUAUUUUGUUGGUUUCUAGGAUCAACGUAAUGAUUAAUAGGGAUAGUUGGG